rnacentral:rRNA from 1 species
AGGGUUCGAUUCUGGCUCAGGAUGAACGCUGGCGGCGUGCUUAACACAUGCAAGUCGAACGAAGAAACCAAGGAGUGCUUGCACUCUGUGGAUUCUUAGUGGCGGACGGGUGAGUAACGCGUGGGGAACCUGCCUUAUAAAGGGGGAUAACAGGGAGAAAUGCCUGCUAAUACCGCAUAAGCUUAGGAGAGCGCAUGCUCUGAUAAGGAAAGGCGAAAGCCGAUAUAAGAUGGCCCCGCGUCUGAUUAGCUAGUUGGAGAGGUAACGGCUCACCAAGGCGACGAUCAGUAGCCGGCUUGAGAGAGUGGACGGCCACAUUGGGACUGAGACACGGCCCAA